rnacentral:tRNA from 1 species
GCGGAUGUGGCGGAAUGGCAGACGCGCUAGAUUCAGGUUCUAGUGGUAGCAAUACCGUGGGGGUUCAAGUCCCUUCAUCCGCA